AAAUAAAGAUAUUUCCAAAAGUAAUCCAUGCAUCGAUGUAGAUGAAUGUCUGUUCAGUCCAUCUGUAUGUGGUCCAAAUGCCAACUGCACAAAUGAAAUUGGAAGUUAUAAUUGCUCAUGUCUGGGUGGAUUCACUGCAACAAACUCAAGUCUCUCCAUCAGCAUCAAUAACACAUGCAAAGAUGUGAAUGAAUGUAUUGAGAUAUCAGAUGUCUGUGGUCCAAACUCA